UUCCAGAUCUGUGUUUCUGCUGGAAGUGGCACCUGUGAGCCUGCAAGGAAUGCUGGGAAUUGGGCUUAUAGGGUCCAAGGUCAAGUGCUUUCAAGGGAGUGGGGUAUCCUGUAUCACUUCCAUAUUCCUCUACCUUCCACUGACCAAAGGAAAUGCUGACAAGAAAUACUCCAAGGCCCUGCCUGCUGGUGCGUUUUGAGGGUGGCGCCACAUCAGCAGGCAAUGCCACCAGACUCUUUUCUGAGCCCUCAGCACAGAUCUGUCUUUGGUACUGGAUGCUGCCACCCAGCAGCGGGCCCUUUCCUACAAGAACUUCUUGAACUGACAUAUACUGAAAAGCUGACAGCGACCCUGAAUUAUGGACGCACACUUUCUGUGUAUGGAGGCAGAGAGGAGCGAGCAUGUUACCUUCCCCCAGGGAUUGGUCCUGAACAACAAUCCAAGGGGAACCAAACCGAUACUCAAGCUAUAACCCUCAAUUAAAAAAAAAUUCAAAAAGAUUAAAAAAAAAACUU